CUGCAUCGUCAUGUGGGUUUUUAACCACAAGUGCCACCUGAUUGUUGAACCACUAGACUAUGAGUCGGGGAUGUGGAGCAAUGAAGAGAAUUGGGCAAGAACAAUAACACAGAUGCAGCCCAGUGCUAGGACAGCCUACAAAAGAAGCUCAAUCCUGACGAGACAACUACUAGAAUCUCUGAUGCUCACCAGAGCUGCUACUGACGCACGUGGUACGAUUCUGGUAUUCUUAACGGCGGUGUAAGCAGGGCAGUGGUGGUACUGAUAAGACUACUUUUUCAUCUUCCUCCGUCCCUCAUGCAACUUUAAAUGCAUUUGCAUUCAUGAUGGCAACCUAAAAAUUUCUCAACCUCGUGAGUCUUUGUUCCUUCAAAAGAGUUUGUCUCACAUCAGGGCAAAGUGUAUUCCAGAAAAUGCAGAGAGAGUCCUAGAAUGGAAUACAAGAAAUGACUGUAUAUCAGCCAUUUAUAAAAUGUGCUCACGAAGGGCAGGGGAAGAGGAAGCUGUGUCUGGACCUUCCUCCAAUUAAGCCAUGAAGCUCUCCUUCUACUCUUGCACUUGUUUAUGCUUCUGGGUGAGAUAUACCUGCAGGAGACCUCUUCAGCUUUAAAAUAAUAAUUUGUACAAGG